rnacentral:rRNA from 1 species
UACGUAGGGGGCUAGCGUUGUCCGGAAUCAUUGGGCGUAAAGCGCGCGUAGGCGGUCAGGUAAGUCCGGUGUGAAAGUCAAAGGCUCAACCUUUGAAUGCCGCUGGAUACCGCCUGACUUGAGUCCGGAAGGGGCGAGUGGAAUUCCUGGUGUAGCGGUGAAAUGCGUAGAUAUCGUAAGGAAGACCAGUGGCGAAGGCGGGUCUCUGGACAGUUCCUGACGCUGAGGCACGAAGGCCAGGGGAGCAAACGGG